ACGUAGGUGGCAAGCGUUAUCCGGAUUUAUUGGGCGUAAAGAGAGUGCAGGCGGUUUCUUAAGUCUGGUGUGAAAGCCUUCGGCUCAACCGAAGAAGUGCAUUGGAAACUAGGAAACUUGAGUACAGCAGAGGAUAGUGGAACUCCAUGUGUAGCGGUGAAAUGCGUAGAUAUAUGGAAGAACACCAGUGGCGAAGGCGGCUAUCUGGGCUGUUACUGACGCUGAGACUCGAAAGCAUGGGUAGCAAACAGG
rnacentral:rRNA from 1 species